UCCCACUCUCACCCCUCGGCCCACGCGAGAUGCAGCGAUGAUGCGUGCGUGUCCUGCGCAGCACUCUCAGCGCGGCGUGGAGGUGCGAAAGAGACGACGCUAUGGAAGCAUGCAAAAAGCGCCCAGAGCUGGAAGCUUCAAAUGCUUUCGCUAUCGUCGUGGGCAAAACGCUAGGAUUGAAAACGAUCUAUUUGUUUGCAUAUUUCGAUAAAAGUGAGUAAUUCGCAUUUUACGUUCAUGUAAUUGCAGGCAUUACUAAACCGGUGAUCCACAACGCGCGGACAACGGAUUCCACUGUACCGGGGAACAGUUUCUCGAUUCGACACACCUGUACAGGCCGUACUUUCGGGCGCAGUGACAGCGAACGUCAGUGUUUUGCUGUGCGGUCGGUCGCUAGCUGGAGCAUUUGGAAGGUAAACAUUGGAAAGGAAAGUUUGGAUAAGCUGCAGUGAAGUUGUGCUUGUUUCGAUGGGAAAGAUGAGGCUGUCUGAGCGAAUGGUUCAAAAUAAUCUACUCCCGUACUCGAAGGUGGUGGAUUGCUCACACGACAACGGGUGAGAAAGUGAGACAACGAAACAAGCUGCUGACGGGGCAGCAGUCGUACAAAAGGAAAUAUCUCCAUCUCUCCGUUUGGGACAGUUGCUGCGCGAAAGGACAAAGGCUGUGUAGCAGCACAAUUCCACAACGGCCCGAACGGGUGGUCGUACCGAGCGUUAUUUGUUUUAUUGACAGAAAACCUACCUCAGCGAAUGCCGAACAACAAUCUGCACCUGUACUCGAAAGUGCUGGUGGCUCACACGACAACGGGCGAGAAACGUCCCAUACCUGUGUGUCAACGGCUAGAGUGGGAAUAUCCGGUCACGCUGAACAUGUCCAGCUUAAGCUUCGGCACCGGUCCAAACGAUCAUCUACUCGUCCAGGAGCAGCAACAGCAGCAGCAGCAAGCACCACCGAAUGGGUUCAACGGUUCAACGGUCCACACACGGUAGGAAGUAAGGGACGUAUUUGCCAGAAGGAAAUCAGUGCUGUUCUUCUGGUAGAUGUAUCUUGUUGAAGAAAAGGAAAAUGUUUAUGGGAAAGGUCCCCAAAUGAGCGGUGCGUGUGUGGAGAGAGCAACAGCAAAAGAUGAACAUACAUUAUGUCAAUCCGAAUUGGUGUGAAUGUGUUCCUAGCCCACACGGGGAGGAACGCAAAAUAAAGAAGACAAUAUGUUUAUAACGAA